GACGAACGCUGGCGGCGUGCUUAACACAUGCAAGUCGAACGGAAAGGCCUGUCCUUCCUUGUGUUGGACGGGUACUCGAGUGGCGAACGGGUGAGUAACACGUGAGUGAUCUGCCCCCAACUUGGGUAUAAGCCUGGGAAACUGGGUCUAAUUCCCGAUAGGACUGCAGGGUGGUGCCUGUGGUGGAAAACGAUUUUCUAGUGGUUGGGGAUGAGCUCGCGGCCUAUCAGCUUGUUGGUGGGGUAAUGGCCUACCAAGGCGGCGACGGGUAGCCGGCCUGAGAGGGUGGACGGCCACAUUGGGACUGAGAUACGGCCCAGACUCCUACGGGAGGCAGCAGUGGGGAAUAUGACACAAUGGGCGGAAGCCUGAUGCAGCGACGCCGCGUGGGGGAUGACGGCCUUCGGGUUGUAAACUCCUUUCGACCGCGAGGAAGCCGCCUGGUUGGAAGGGUGGUGACGGUAGUGGUAGAAGAAGCACCGGCUAACUACGUG
rnacentral:rRNA from 1 species